GACGAACGCUGGCGGCGCGCUUAACACAUGCAAGUCGAACGGAAAGGCCUGCUUUCCCUUGUGGAUUGCGGGUACUCGAGUGGCGAACGGGUGAGUAACACGUGAGUGAUCUGCCCCCAACUUGGGUAUAAGCCUGGGAAACUGGGUCUAAUUCCCGAUAGGACUGCAGGGUGGUGCCUGUGGUGGAAAGCGAUUUUCUAGUGGUUGGGGAUGAGCUCGCGGCCUAUCAGCUUGUUGGUGGGGUAAUGGCCUACCAAGGCGGCGACGGGUAGCCGGCCUGAGAGGGUGGACGGCCACAUUGGGACUGAGAUACGGCCCAGACUCCUACGGGAGGCAGCAGUGGGGAAUAUUACACAAUGGGCGGAAGCCUGAUGCAGCGACGCCGCGUGGGGGAUGACGGCCUUCGGGUUGUAAACUCCUUUCGACCGCGAGGAAGCCACCUGGUUGGAAGGGUGGUGACGGUAGUGGUAGAAGAAGCACCGGCUAACUACGUG
rnacentral:rRNA from 1 species